rnacentral:ncRNA from 20 species
CUCUUAUUCAGAGUUGGUGGAGGGACAGACCCGAUGAAGCCCAGCAACCAUCACUACUGGUGAAAAGGUGCUAAUCUGAUGCAAGGAUAAUAGUUCCUUGAACAAUAAGAG